AGUGAACGCUGGCGGUAGGCCUAACACAUGCAAGUCGAACGGCAGCACAGUAAGAGCUUGCUCUUACGGGUGGCGAGUGGCGGACGGGUGAGGAAUACAUCGGAAUCUACUUUUUCGUGGGGGAUAACGUAGGGAAACUUACGCUAAUACCGCAUACGACCUACGGGUGAAAGCAGGGGAUCUUCGGACCUUGCGCGAUUGAAUGAGCCGAUGUCGGAUUAGCUAGUUGGCGGGGUAAAGGCACACCAAGGCGACGAUCCGUAGCUGGUCUGAGAGGAUGAUCAGCCACACUGGAACUGAGACACGGUCCAGACUCCUACGGGAGGCAGCAGUGGGGAAUAUUGGACAAUGGGCGCAAGCCUGAUCCAGCCAUACCGCGUGGGGGAAGAGGGCCUUCGGGUUGUAAAGCCCUUUUGUUGGGAAAGAAAAGCAGCAGGUUAAUACCCCGCUGUUCUGACGGUACCCAAAGAAUAAGCACCGGCUAACUUCGUG
rnacentral:rRNA from 1 species